GCUAGUGCAGUAGGCCACCCUGCAGUUCCUGCCCAGGAUUUCUUGGCUAGUUUUCUUAGUAAACAUGCUAGUUUUUGGAGUUGUUUCACUGCUCAGUAGGUUUUCCCUACUAAUGAGAGAGAGUCUUAAUAGGCAGGAAACCUAGAAAAGUAAGAAGCUGUUGCUCCCAGCUGAAUGGAUUUUCAAACAAGAAUGCACAGUGCUUGUACUCCUCAAAGAAUAAAGACUGCACACCACCUCUGGCCACCCCAAAAUGGAUGGAGAGAAAGUGGAAGUAUGACUCUGCUCCCUGUCUCACAUUUUUCACAGAACUGGAUGGACCCAGAAAAAUACACAUGCUGUAUCCCCUUACGUGGUAUAUCAGCUGCCAUACUUUCCUUGCAUGCCAUGACUGUGCUGAUCUAACAAUUCUGCAGCCAUCAAGGACUUCACCUUGUCACUAUACCAUAUGCUGUGGCUGCACAAGACUUUCCAGACAUUAGCAGGAUGAGAGUUCAGGUUAUUCUUUAUGCAGAAAGUUGAGUCCUCAACCAUUUGAACCAGAAAUUACUUCAAUCUCCACUUCACUCAACUGAACGUGGGAACACAGAUGAGAAGUUGUCAUACACAGAUGAGAAGUUGUCAGCAAAGGACUUAACUGUCUUAGUUUCUUCUUGCUUAGAUCAUUUUCUGUUUUUUUAUAGUGUAUAUUUUUGUAGUUAUAAAGAACCAUUUAUACAUAUAAUGCUAUAUUAAUAAUAAAUAGCAAGCACUUAGCCGUCAACAUGAUUGUUUGUAGUCUUAAAAAAAUUGUUCCAAGAAAAAUGUAAAGAAAGAACAGAAGAGAGAAGAAAAAUUGGCCUAUUUAUAACCUGCAAAAAGCUGACAAUUAGAACUGAUUGAUAAAUAUCCUGAAAUCAGAUUUAGUAGUCAUGCUUUGAAUUAUUGAGAUAAUUAAAUGAUAGCUACUUUCCAGUUGGUCAAAUAUGUUGUCAAGAUGAUGCUAAGUAUGAAAUACAGGAUAAAUGAGAAUGAAUGUAACACUUUCUCAUUAAAAAAAAUGGUAAAACUAUGAAUACACUUCUUAAGUUUACAAACAAAGUCAAAUAAAUUCACAUUUUAAGAACUUGUAAAC